rnacentral:tRNA from 1 species
GGCGGGAUGCCCGAGUGGUCAAAGGGAGCGGUCUGUAAAACCGUCGGCUCUGCCUACGAAGGUUCAAAUCCUUCUCCCGCCA